ensembl:misc_RNA Metazoa_SRP Metazoan signal recognition particle RNA
GCCGGGCAUGGUGGCACAUGCCUGUAAUCCCAGCUACUCAGGAGGCUGAGGCAGAAGACUUGCUUGAACCUGGGAGGUUUGCAGUGACCCAAGAUCUUGCCACUGCACUCCAGCCUGGGCAACAGAGCGAGACUCCGUCUCAA